AACGAACGCUGGCGGCGUGCCUAACACAUGCAAGUCGUGCGAGAAAAGGGGGGUAACUCCCUGAGUACAGCGGCGCACGGGUGAGUAACACGUAGGUAACCUACCCUCGAGCCCGGGAUAACCUACCGAAAGGUGGGCUAAUACCGGAUGUGACCACGGGAGUUUCGGCUCCUGAGGUAAAAGAUGGCCUCUGCUUGCAAGCUAUCACUCGUGGAGGGGCCUGCGCGCCAUUAGCUAGUUGGCGGGGUAAUGGCCCACCAAGGCUCUGAUGGCUAGCUGGUCUGAGAGGAUGACCAGCCAAACUGAGACUGAAACACGGCCCAGACUCCUACGGGAGGCAGCGGUGGGGGAUAUUGCGCAAUGGGCGAAAGCCUGACGCAGCGACGCCGCGUGGGUGAUGAAGGCCUUCGGGUCGUAAAGCCCUGUCGAGGGGGACGAACCGGCCGCGACCGAAUACGUCGCGACCCUGACGGUACCCCUAAAGGAAGCACCGGCUAACUCCGUGCCAGCAGCCGCCGUAACAC
rnacentral:rRNA from 1 species